rnacentral:rRNA from 1 species
ACGGAGGAUCCAAGCGUUAUCCGGAUUCAUUGGGUUUAAAGGGUGCGCAGGCGGCUUGGUAAGUCAGAUGUGAAAUCCCUGGGCUUAACCCAGGAAGUGCAUUUGAUACUGCCUCGCUAGAGUACGGGAGAGGAAAGUGGAAUUCCUGGUGUAGAGGUGAAAUUCGUAGAUAUCAGGAGGAACACCGGUGGCGAAGGCGACUUUCUGGCCCGAUACUGACGCUCAGGCGCGAAAGCGUGGGGAGCAAACAG